CGUCAACAAGCCCACACGUAUACUGUACUUAUACAUAUGUCCUUCACUCCCUCCCUCGCUCACUCACUCACUCCCUCACUCGCUCCUCGCUCCCACACUCCAUCACUCACUCACCCUCACCCAACCAGUACUCUCUGUGUCUCUACGCGUUACCAUUGCCUCAUAUCAUGCCGAUCAAUACAGUAGUUAACUCUUGAACUAGACAACACAGACAGACGAGGAAGAAGCUAAGGGCACUCCCUCCGUGGUAAAAAGUUCUCCAAGUAGUCUGCCAACUCAAGAAACAAGUAUUUACACAUUCAUCGAUCUGAAAGUUUUAUCACUGCUGCUGCCUCACUUGUGUUGGUAUCUGAAGCGGCGACGACCAGGAGAUGAAGCUAAAAGGGACGGUGAUGUUGACGGUGGUGGCAUUGGUACUACUGCUCCUGGUGGUGGCGCCCUCUACCCAGAUCACCUUCCGGAGGUAUUACAGACCGUAUAGUCAUGUCCGUCAGUCGUCUGUAUCGUUCGAAACAUCUCAUAGGUUUGGCCCAGGAACUAUUGGCUUCAAAGGCAAGGGCUGGUAAGGAGGUCAUGUGACGCAUCUUCAAGAUGUUCAUCAUCUUAAACUCGAAAUGCAGGUCGCUUCUAAGGGGUUUUCAGGGUCAUGGUCACUCCUGAAGGGGAGGUGUUCAGGGUCAUGGACACUCCUGAAGGGGAGGUGUUCAGGAUCAUGGACACUCCUGAAGGGGAGGUGUUCAGGGUCAUGGACACUCCUGAAGGGGAAGUGUUAGCAUCUAGCACACUUCUCAGGCGGCAUCCUGGAGGCAACUGUAGAGUAUUGUACAGCCUAAAUAUCCAAGGUGCCCCACGUCCAGGAUAUUCCCAGAUAUCAAGCAUUCAGAACAACUUUAAGAACCGUCCACCUUCUACGAUCCUUCCUGGAGAUGCCAAGAACGAAGUAUACAAUGAGGAAGUGUCCAGCAUCCCCAACAUAUCCAGGAUAAUAUUAUCCGCGACGCUUUCAGUAAGAGGUAAAACUCCAGCAUGAGAACGUUUCCAGGAUAUACCUGUUGGUACCAGGAUCCAGGAUAUACCUUGUAGAUACCCAGCAUCCAGAAUGGUUGGGGCUUGUUUGGAGAAUACUGGCCACUUCGCCUUUCGGCUCUUUCGGGGAAGAUUAUUGUAUACAUUGUAUGUUAUUUGAAUUGAUUUUUUAAUAUAUUAGUUAU